GCCCCCGUAGCUCAGAAGGAUAGAGCAACGGUUUCCUAAACCGUAGGUCGCACGUUCGAAUCGUGUCGGGGGCG
rnacentral:tRNA from 7 species